rnacentral:rRNA from 1 species
AGCAGCCGCGGUAAUUCCAGCUCCAAUAGCGUAUAUUAAAGUUGCUGCAGUUAAAAAGCUCGUAGUUGAAUUUCGGGACCAUCAUGUCGGUCGUGCCUCGGUACGUACUGGCAUUAUUGGUUUCUCCCUUCUGACGAACCAUGAUGUCAUUUAUUUGGUGUUGUGGGGAAUCAGGACUGUUACUUUGAAAAAAUUAGAGUGUUUAAAGCAGGCUCACGCUUGAAUACAUUAGCAUGGAAUAAUGAAAUAGGACGUUUGAUUCUAUUUUGUUGGUUUCUAGGAUCGACGUAAUGAUUAAUAGGGAUAGUUGGGGGCAUUAGUAUUCAAUUGUCAGAGGUGAAAUUCUUGGAUUUAUUGAAGACUAACUACUGCGAAAGCAUUUGCCAAGGAUGUUUUCAUUAAUCAAGAACGAAAGUUAGGGGAUCGAAGACGAUCAGAUACCGUCGUAGUCUUAACCAUAAACUAUGCCGACUAGGGAUCGGAUGAUGUUAAUUUUUUAAUGACUCAUUCGGCGCCUUAC